GGGGCUAUAGCUCAGUGGCAGAGCUUUCGUUCUGCAUGCUGAAAGGCCGCAGGUUCAAUCCUUGCCAUCUCCA